rnacentral:lncRNA from 1 species
GUGGACCGUGGGGCUUGGCUCUGGGCUCCAGCGCUGGGCUGGCAGUGUGCUGAGGAGGGUGGGCCUCAUGCUCCCGGCACAGAUGCACUAGGCUCUGCAGGGCUUUUGGCAAAAGGCACCCCACCACUCCAGAGGACCUGCCAGAAAAGCCACGUGAUCCAAGUCAGGCAUUGUGACUACAGGGCCAAUGGUGGGGCUUGCAGGAUGGAGCAGAGCCUUUCAGUUCCAAAGCAUAGUAGUUCAUGCCAGGUCCCCAGGAAGCACAUAAAGCACACAUAUGAC